UACGUAGGGUGCGAGCGUUAAUCGGAAUUACUGGGCGUAAAGAGCUCGUAGGCGGUUCGUCGCGUCGGCUGUGAAAACCCGGAGCUCAACUCCGGGCCUGCAGUCGAUACGGGCGGACUUGAGUGUUGCAGGGGAGACUGGAAUUCCUGGUGUAGCGGUGAAAUGCGCAGAUAUCAGGAGGAACACCGGUGGCGAAGGCGGGUCUCUGGGCAACUACUGACGCUGAGGAGCGAAAGCGCGGGGAGCGAACAGG
rnacentral:rRNA from 1 species